AACGAACGCUGGCGGCAUGCCUAACACAUGCAAGUCGGACGAAGCCUUCGGGCUUAGUGGCGCACGGGUGCGUAACGCGUGGGAAUCUGCCCCUUGCUUCGGAAUAACAGUUAGAAAUGACUGCUAAUACCGGAUGAUGUCUUCGGACCAAAGAUUUAUCGGCAAGGGAUGAGCCCGCGUAGGAUUAGGUAGUUGGUGGGGUAAAGGCCUACCAAGCCGACGAUCCUUAGCUGGUCUGAGAGGAUGAUCAGCCACACUGGGACUGAGACACGGCCCAGACUCCUACGGGAAGCAGCAGUGGGGAAUAUUGGACAAUGGGGGGAACCCUGAUCCAGCAAUGCCGCGUGAGUGAUGAAGGCCUUAGGGUUGUAAAGCUCUUUUACCAGGGAUGAUAAUGACAGUACCUGGAGGAUAAGCUCCGGCUAACUCCGUGCCAGCCGCCGCAGUAACAC
rnacentral:rRNA from 1 species